rnacentral:rRNA from 1 species
GAAUUUUGGACAAUGGGCGAAAGCCUGAUCCAGCAACGCCGCGUGCAGGAUGAAGGCCUUCGUGUUGUAAACUGCUCUUGUACGGAACGAAAAGCUUUGGGUUAAAACCCUGGAGUCACGACGGUAACGUAAGCACAAGCACCGGCUAACUACGUGGCAGCAGCCGCGGUAAUACGUAGGGUGCAAGCGUUAAUCGGAAUUCCCGGGCGGCAAGCGUGCGCAGUCGGUUUUGUAAGACAGAGGUGAAGUCCCCGGGCUCAACCUGGGAACUGCCUUUGUGACUGCAAGGCUAGAGUACGGCAGAGGGGGGUGGAAUUCCGCGUGUAGCAGUGAAAUGCGUAGAUAUGCGGAGGAACACCGAUGGCGAAGGCAACCCCCUGGGCCCGUACUGACGCUCAUGCACGAAAGCGUGGGGAGCAAACA